UUAUUUACAUGGAGUCUGGUGGUGUUGGGUGAUGCAUUACAGCUUGUUUCAUGAUUAAUACUGGACCAGUUUCAGAGAUUGUUGUCCCAUCAGACACUCAGAAAC